UUAAGCGACUAAGCGUACACGGUGGAUGCCCUGGCAGUCAGAGGCGAUGAAGGACGUGCUAAUCUGCGAAAAGCGUCGGUAAGGUGAUAUGAACCGUUAUAACCGGCGAUGUCCGAAUGGGGAAACCCAGUGCAAUUCGUUGCACUAUCGUUAACUGAAUACAUAGGUUAACGAGGCGAACCGGGGGAACUGAAACAUCUAAGUACCCCGAGGAAAAGAAAUCAACCGAGAUUCCCCCAGUAGCGGCGAGCGAACGGGGAGCAGCCCAGAGUCUGAAUCAGCUUGUGUGUUAGUGGAACGGUCUGGAAAGUCCGACGGUACAGGGUGAUAGUCCCGUACACCAAAAUGCACAGGUUGUGAACUCGAAGAGUAGGGCGGGACACGUGGUAUCCUGUCUGAAUAUGGGGGGACCAUCCUCCAAGGCUAAAUACUCCUGACUGACCGAUAGUGAACCAGUACCGUGAGGGAAAGGCGAAAAGAACCCCGGCGAGGGGAGUGAAAAAGAACCUGAAACCGUGUACGUACAAGCAGUGGGAGCACCUUCGGGUGUGACUGCGUACCUUUUGUAUAAUGGGUCAGCGACUUAUAUUCUGUAGCAAGGUUAACCGUAUAGGGGAGCCGCAGGGAAACCGAGUCUUAACUGGGCGUUAAGUUGCAGGGUAUAGACCCGAAACCCGGUGAUCUAGCCAUGGGCAGGUUGAAGGUUGGGUAACACUAACUGGAGGACCGAACCGACUAAUGUUGAAAAAUUAGCGGAUGACUUGUGGCUGGGGGUGAAAGGCCAAUCAAACCGGGAGAUAGCUGGUUCUCCCCGAAAGCUAUUUAGGUAGCGCCUCGUGAAUUCAUCUUCGGGGGUAGAGCACUGUUUCGGCUAGGGGGUCAUCCCGACUUACCAACCCGAUGCAAACUACGAAUACCGAAGAAUGUUAUCACGGGAGACACACGGCGGGUGCUAACGUCCGUCGUGAAGAGGGAAACAACCCAGACCGCCAGCUAAGGUCCCAAAGUCAUGGUUAAGUGGGAAACGAUGUGGGAAGGCACAGACAGCCAGGAUGUUGGCUUAGAAGCAGCCAUCAUUUAAAGAAAGCGUAAUAGCUCACUGGUCGAGUCGGCCUGCGCGGAAGAUGUAACGGGGCUAAACCAUGCACCGAAGCUGCGGCAGCGACACUAUGUGUUGUUGGGUAGGGGAGCGUUCUGUAAGCCUGCGAAGGUGUGCUGUGAGGCAUGCUGGAGGUAUCAGAAGUGCGAAUGCUGACAUAAGUAACGAUAAAGCGGGUGAAAAGCCCGCUCGCCGGAAGACCAAGGGUUCCUGUCCAACGUUAAUCGGGGCAGGGUGAGUCGACCCCUAAGGCGAGGCCGAAAGGCGUAGUCGAUGGGAAACAGGUUAAUAUUCCUGUACUUGGUGUUACUGCGAAGGGGGGACGGAGAAGGCUAUGUUAGCCGGGCGACGGUUGUCCCGGUUUAAGCAUGUAGGCUGAUUAUCCAGGCAAAUCCGGAUAAUCAAGGCUGAGGUGUGAUGACGAGGCACUACGGUGCUGAAGUAACAAAUGCCCUGCUUCCAGGAAAAGCCUCUAAGCAUCAGGUAACAUCAAAUCGUACCCCAAACCGACACAGGUGGUCAGGUAGAGAAUACCAAGGCGCUUGAGAGAACUCGGGUGAAGGAACUAGGCAAAAUGGUGCCGUAACUUCGGGAGAAGGCACGCUGGUGUGUAGGUGAAGCCCCUGCGGGUGGAGCUGAGACCAGUCGAAGAUACCAGCUGGCUGCAACUGUUUAUUAAAAACACAGCACUGUGCAAACACGAAAGUGGACGUAUACGGUGUGACGCCUGCCCGGUGCCGGAAGGUUAAUUGAUGGGGUUAUCCGUAAGGAGAAGCUCUUGAUCGAAGCCCCGGUAAACGGCGGCCGUAACUAUAACGGUCCUAAGGUAGCGAAAUUCCUUGUCGGGUAAGUUCCGACCUGCACGAAUGGCGUAAUGAUGGCCAGGCUGUCUCCACCCGAGACUCAGUGAAAUUGAACUCGCUGUGAAGAUGCAGUGUACCCGCGGCAAGACGGAAAGACCCCGUGAACCUUUACUAUAGCUUGACACUGAACAUUGAGCCUUGAUGUGUAGGAUAGGUGGGAGGCUUUGAAGCGUGGACGCCAGUCUGCGUGGAGCCAACCUUGAAAUACCACCCUUUAAUGUUUGAUGUUCUAACGUUGGCCCCUUACCGGGGUUGCGGACAGUGUCUGGUGGGUAGUUUGACUGGGGCGGUCUCCUCCUAAAGCGUAACGGAGGAGCACGAAGGUUAGCUAAUCCUGGUCGGACAUCAGGAGGUUAGUGCAAUGGCAUAAGCUAGCUUGACUGCGAGCGUGACGGCGCGAGCAGGUGCGAAAGCAGGUCAUAGUGAUCCGGUGGUUCUGAAUGGAAGGGCCAUCGCUCAACGGAUAAAAGGUACUCCGGGGAUAACAGGCUGAUACCGCCCAAGAGUUCAUAUCGACGGCGGUGUUUGGCACCUCGAUGUCGGCUCAUCACAUCCUGGGGCUGAAGUAGGUCCCAAGGGUAUGGCUGUUCGCCAUUUAAAGUGGUACGCGAGCUGGGUUUAGAACGUCGUGAGACAGUUCGGUCCCUAUCUGCCGUGGGCGCUGGAGAAUUGAGGGGGGCUGCUCCUAGUACGAGAGGACCGGAGUGGACGCAUCACUGGUGUUCGGGUUGUCAUGCCAAUGGCACUGCCCGGUAGCUAAAUGCGGAAGAGAUAAGUGCUGAAAGCAUCUAAGCACGAAACUUGCCCCGAGAUGAGUUCUCCCUGAGACUUUAAGUCUCCUGAAGGAACGUUGAAGACGACGACGUUGAUAGGCCGGGUGUGUAAGCGCAGCGAUGCGUUGAGCUAACCGGUACUAAUGAACCGUGAGGCUUAACCUU
rnacentral:rRNA from 2 species